GGGCCCGUAGCUCAGUCCGGUCCAGAGCGCCGGUCUUAUAGGACAGUGCUCUGCUCAUCUAGGACAGCCGGCGGUCGGGAGUUCAAAUCUCCCCGGGCCCA
rnacentral:tRNA from 1 species